rnacentral:rRNA from 1 species
GACGAACGCUGGCGGCGUGCUUAACACAUGCAAGUCGAACGGAAAGGCCCUGCUUUUGUGGGUUGCUCGAGUGGCGAACGGGUGAGUAACACGUGAGUAACCUGCCCUUGACUUUGGGAUAACUUCAGGAAACUGGGGCUAAUACCGGCUAGGAGCUCCUGCUGCAUGGUGGGGGUUGGAAAGUUUCGGCGGUUGGGGCUGGACUCGCGGCUUAUCAGCUUGUUGGUGGGGUAGUGGCUUACCAAGGCUUUGACGGGUAGCCGGCCUGAGAGGGUGACCGGCCACAUGGGGACUGAGAUAGGGACCAGACUCCUACGGGAGGCAGCAGUGGGGAAUAUUGCACAAUGGGCGGAAGCCUGAUGCAGCAACGCCGCGUGCGGGAUGACGGCCUUCGGGUUGUAAACCGCUUUCGCCUGUGACGAAGCGUGAGUGACGGUAAUGGGUAAAGAAGCACCGGCUAACUACGUG